rnacentral:rRNA from 1 species
CCUACGGGUGGCAGCAGUGGGGAAUGUUGCGCAAUGAUCGUAAGAGUGACGCAGCGACGCCGCGUGAAUGACGAAGGCCUUCGGGUCGUAAAGUUCUUGCGACAGGGAAGAAAAUGCCGAUAAGUAACUGUGUAUGUAUUGACGGUACCUGUAGAAGCAGCCCCGGCUAACUCCGUGCCAGCAGCCGCGGUAAUACGGAGGGGGCGAGCGUUGUUCGGAGUGACGGGGCGUAAAGAGCACGUAGGCGGUGUUGUAAGUCAUUAGUCAAAGACUCGAGCUCAACUUUAGUAAGGCUAGUGAUACUCUCAUACUAGAGUAUCAGAGAGUCUUGCUGCAUUCCUGGUGUAGCGG